rnacentral:misc_RNA from 1 species
GAUGAAGAACGUAGCGAAAUGCGAUAAGUAAUGUGAAUUGCAGAAUUCAGUGAAUCAUCGAAUCUUUGAACGCACAUUGCGCCCCCUGGUAUUCCGGGGGGCAUGCCUGUUCGAGCGUCAUUUCACCACUCAAGCCUCGCUUGGUAUUGGGCAACGCGGUCCGCCGCGUGCCUCAAAUCGACCGGCUGGGUCUUCUGUCCCCUAAGCGUUGUGGAAACUUUCGCUAAAGGGUGUUCGGGAGGCUACGCCGUAAAACAACCCCAUUUCUAAGGUUGACCUCGGAUCAGGUAGGGAUACCCGCUGAACUUAAGCAUAUCAAUAAGCGGAG